GCAGUAGUGGUUCAGUGGUAUAAUUCUCACCUUCCACAUGGGAGACCUGGGUUCAAUUCCUAACCAAUGCA
rnacentral:tRNA from 1 species